AUAAAAGGAGAAAAGUUAGGUGGAAUAGAAUUGUUUCACCAAAUUAAAGAGUUGCCUUGGCUAGGCUCAAACUUGAAACCUUCCUGCUCCUACCUCCCAGAGUGCUGGAAUUACUCACAUUUUAAGAACUUCAGAUUUUGCAAUGUGAUAGUCUGAAAGAGAGGCCAACACAGGCAGCUCUUUGGAAAUGAGACCUGGUGCUUCCAAUAACCCUAAAGCUGACAAACAUCAGAAAGAGAGACACA
rnacentral:lncRNA from 1 species